UACAUAGGGUGCGAGCGUUAAUCGGAAUUACUGGGCGUAAAGCGUGCGCAGGCGGUGAGCUGUGUCCGAUGUGAAAGCCCCGGGCUUAACCUGGGAAUGGCAUUGGAAACUGGCUCGCUGGAGUGUGGCAGAGGGGGGUGGAAUUCCGCGUGUAGCAGUGAAAUGCGUAGAGAUGCGGAGGAACACCGAUGGCGAAGGCAGCCCCCUGGGCUAACACUGACGCUCAGGCACGAAAGCGUGGGGAGCAAACAGG
rnacentral:rRNA from 1 species